CCUACGGGGGGCAGCAGUGGGGAAUAUUGCACAAUGGGGGGAACCCUGAUGCAGCGACGCCGCGUGAGUGAAGAAGUAUUUCGGUAUGUAAAGCUCUAUCAGCAGGGAAGAAAAUGACGGUACCUGACUCAGAAGCCCCGGCUAACUACGUGCCAGCAGCCGCGGCAAGACGUAGGGGGCAAGCGUUAUCCGGAUUUACUGGGUGUUAAGGGAGCGCAGGCGGCUGUGCAAGUCUGGAGUGAAAGGCGGGGGCCCAACCCCCGGACUGCACUGGAAACUGUAAAGCUGGAGUGCAGGAGAGGUAAGCGGAAUUCGUGGUGUAGCGGUGAAAUGCGUAGAUAUUAGGAGGAACACCAGUGGCGAAGGCGGCUUACUGGACUGCAACUGACGUUGAGGCACGAAAGCGUGGGGAGCGAACAGGAUUAGAUACCCUGGUAGUC
rnacentral:rRNA from 1 species